rnacentral:misc_RNA from 1 species
AAGUAAGAUUGUUGUUACAACUCGAAUUGAAAGCGUAAAAUCAGCUAUACAUAAUAACCAGAUGAUCAUUCACCUAAGUCAUCUUUUGGAGAAAUUAUGUGAUGGUGAUUGCUGGUCCAUGCUUGCAAGAUAUGCAUUUCAUAAUGGAAUUUCCAAUUCAUCACAUUCAGAUUUUGAAGCUAUUGGUAAGGAAAUAGCCAAAAAGU